rnacentral:rRNA from 1 species
CUACGGGUCGCUCCAGGCGCGAAAACUCCGCAAUACGCGAAAGCGUGACGGGGGAACCCCAAGUGUCAUGCCGUUUAGGUAUGACUUUUGCAGAGUGUAGAAAGCUCUGCGAAUAAAAGCGGGGUAAGACCGGUGCCAGCCGCCGCGGUAACACCGGCCGCUUGAGUGGUGACCGCUAUUAUUGGGCCUAAAGCGUCCGUAGCCGGUUCUGUAAGUCCUUGGGUAAAUCCACUCGUUUAACGAAUGGGACCCUGAGGAUACUGCAGAACUUGGGAACGAGAGAAGUCGGAGGUACUCCUGGGGUAGCGGUGAAAUGUUGUAAUCCUAGGGAGACCACCAGUGGCGAAGGCGUCUGACUAGAGCGGGUCCGACGGUGAGGGACGAAAGCCAGGGGAGCGAAUGGGAUUAGAUACCCCAGUAGUC